AGUAUUAGCGGUAUUGAUAGUGAUAGUGCUAGUGGUAGUGUUAGACAAUGUUAUGAUUAAGUUAAAAUGUUAAACAAAGCGCGAGUACAAAUAUAAAAAAUAUAUAAACAUAAAAAAAAAACAAACAAAAAUGUAAAGUUUCUACGUGUAUGCUGGUGUGAGAGACUUUAUCGUUAUGUCGUUGCUAUGUUUGUUUGCUCAACGCAGUAUUUUACGUUAGUUUUUUAGCCUUUUUCGCCAUUUCUUUUUAUAUAUGUUUCUCGAAAACCUCUUUUAAAAUGUGAACGAAACUAACGUGUAUUUGUGUGUAAAUAAAAAGCUUCUAUAUCAAAUUAUCCCGAUCUGUAUGUAACUUUAAAAGAACUGACAUAACAUCCUGGAGGUUAUUUAAAACAAAAAACAAAAAAAUAUUUAGACAAAUGAAUAUUUUUUCCAGAAAAUUUUAAAAACCGCACUGAAAAUCAAUAUUUAUACGUUUUUAUGCAGCGUAAAAUAAAACAAACAAACAACCCAACCGUUAACAUAUAUUACUUAAUCCAUUAAAUGCCAUCAAAUCCAAAUUAACGAAAUGUAUGUAAAUGUUUUAACAUAAAUAUUUCACAAAAAAAUUGCACAAAUUUCACAAAUUGAAAAAAACAAAAAAAAAAAAAAAUAAUAAUAAUAACAGAAUUCUUUGCAUAACUAAUAGUUUGCGGUAAUAUAGCUAUUUUCACGACUAACUGCUAACUAAAUGGAUUAUAAUUUGCUUAAGAUGUUGCCAUUCAUUAUGUCGUAAUAACCUUUUCUUAACUUUUUUUUUAUGCUCACAACAGCAAAAACCUGACGU